GCUCCCGUAUCCCAACAGGAAGAGGAAUCCGGCUCAAAACCGGAACAGUGAGAGUUCAACUCUCUCCGGGAGUA
rnacentral:tRNA from 1 species